CCUACGGGUGGCAGCAGUGAGGAAUAUUGGUCAAUGGGCGCGAGCCUGAACCAGCCAAGUAGCGUGAAGGAUGACUGCCCUACGGUUUGUAAACUUCUUUUAUAAAGGAAUAAAGUGAGGCACGUGUGCCUUUUGGUAUGGACUUUAUGAAUAAGGAUCGGCUAACUCCGUGCCAGCAGCCGCGGUAAUACGGAGGAUCCGAGCGUUAUCCGGAUUGAUUGGGUUUAAAGGGAGCGUAGACGGGUGGUUAAGUCAGUUGUGAAAGUUUGCGGCUCAACCGUAAAAUUGCAAUUGAUACUGGCCGUCCAGAGUACAGUUGAGGGAGGCGGAAUUCGAGGUGUAGCGGUGAAAUGCUUAGAUAUGACGAAGAACUCCGAUUGCGAAGGCAGCUUCCUAAAC
rnacentral:rRNA from 1 species